rnacentral:lncRNA from 10 species
CCCUUUCUCCCUCUCUAAAAUUCCCAAAGUUAUAUGGUCACCUUGAUCCCAUAUCCUUCCUUCCAGAUCAUUGUCCUGAUAUCCACUACCUGAAAAACCAAGCCUAAAUGUUUCACGAGUUGAUUCCAGGACCUGCAUAGACAUGGAUCUCUUCUUCAAUGUAUCCUCUACAGGAAAGAAAAGGAAGGCACAAGAUAGCCAACAAGACAUAGCCAGGAAAAGCCUCUUGCACCAAAUGAGACAAUAAUAUCAAGUAAAUGAACAUAUAUCCAACUCAUCUUUUGAAAAAAAAAUUGAGAGUUGAUAGAGAAGUGACACCGACAAUGAGGCUGAAGAGGGGGAACCUAAGAGCCCUGCAAGGGGUUGUUGUGUGCACCACGACUCAUUCUUGGCCCUGAAUGACUCCUAAGGAAGUGCCUGCAGCUUUCAACUCCUCAUGGGAGGGAGCAUGCAAGUGAACGAGGUGGGAACUGGAAUGCAUGAACUCUGGAAACAACCACCCACUUCGGAGCUGACAGGAGCAAACUUCAAUCACUCAGACUUCCUGCGCUUCAUCCAUCAUGAGAGGGAGCACACAGUGUCCCCAUCUGUCCCAUGCAGAUCCUACAUUACAGCUGCAGCCUCAUGGCUACCUCUUAAUUAACUGCCUCUGUGACUAAUAUUCAGAAAAACAAUCAGUUGUCAGCAGACCUGCAUGAUAAGCCAUACUAGAAAAGCCCUUCCCACUGGAAGAGAAUUAUUCCAAGUGAAAAUUCAGAUUUACAGGAAGAAGAAAGGCAAAAAUAAUAAAUACGUGUGUAUAUGUAAAAACUAUUUUUCUCUUUUUUGAUUUAUUUAAAUCAAGAAAUUGAGUUAUUUAAUGAAAAUAUAAUAAAAUAUGCUUUGAGAUUUAUAAUUAACAUCGAUGUACAAGACAGUGAUAGAAUAGAGAUUGAUGGGUAUCAACAGAGGUACUUACUGUUUCUCAUAAGUGAAAUGAUAUGCAUAUGAUAGGUAAAGUGAUAUAAUAUUAAUUCAAAUUAGAUUGGGAAAAGUUCAUUUAUAUAGUGAUUCCUAGAAAACCAACUGAUGGUGGGAGGCAAAGAAAUAUAGUAGUAUGUCCAUACAAAGGAUAAAAAAAUACUGAAUUAGUUGAAUUACUGAUUUUAAAAACUUAGUCAUUCAAAAUAAUCAGGAAAAGAGAACUUAAAAUAAGUGAGGUAUGUACCAAAUACCAUUAUCCUCAUUUUACAGAUAAGGAUACUGAUACCAAGUGAAGUUAAAAAAUUUGCCCAAGAUUAAAUAAUUAUUUAGUGUAAAUUCUGUGAUUUAGAGACCUGGCUUAUCCCAAUUAUGCUUUAUCCUUAAACAAUACUGAAUAAACAUUUUAAUUACAAUUGUAACUGAAGAAAAAUACAGGCUUUGACUGGAUAUGAUUUGAGUAUAAAUAUUUCCGCUGAAAAUAAAACUUUUAUAUAAAAUGUGAAAUAAAGUUGAUUUAGGUAAACUUUUAUUCUACUUUCCUUUUAUUGCUGCCUUUUCUUUCUGCUUCUUAAUUUUAAUUCAAAAAGCAGUCAUUUAAACAGUAUAAUAAAGUCACAUAACUAUAUGCCAAUAGAAGAGAAAAAAAUAACAAAAAUUUUAAAAUCAUGCAAAC